rnacentral:rRNA from 1 species
GAUGAACGCUGGCGGCGUGCCUAAUACAUGCAAGUCGAACGAAGAUGUUCUUGUGUUCGCACGAGAGCUCUUAGUGGCGGACGGGUGAGUAACGCGUUGGUGACCUGCCCUAAAGAAGGGAACAACCUCGGGAAACUGAGGCUAAUACCCUAUGUGCUUCUUGAGAUUAGAUGCUUGGGAAGUAAAGGUUCUGUGGACGAAAGGCCACAGCGCCGCUUUAGGAGGGGCCUGCGUCCCAUCAGCUAGUUGGUAGGGUAAUGGCCUACCAAGGCGAUGACGGGUAGGGGACCUGAGAGGGUGACCCCCCACACUAGCACUGAAACACGGGCUAGACACCUACGGGUGGCAGCAGUAGGGAAUCUUGCACAAUCGACGAAAGUCUGAUGCAGCAACGCCGCGUGUGCGAUGAAGGCCUUCGGGUUGUAAAGCACUUUUCUGAGGGAAGAGAAAGGACGGUACCUCAGGAAUAAGUCUCGGCUAACUACGUG